CUUAACACAUGCAAGUCGAGGGGCAGCAUGGUCUUAGCUUGCUAAGGCCGAUGGCGACCGGCGCACGGGUGAGUAACACGUAUCCAACCUGCCGUCUACUCUUGGACAGCCUUCUGAAAGGAAGAUUAAUACAAGAUGGCAUCAUGAGUCCGCAUGUUCACAUGAUUAAAGGUAUUCCGGUAGACGAUGGGGAUGCGUUCCAUUAGAUAGUAGGCGGGGUAACGGCCCACCUAGUCUUCGAUGGAUAGGGGUUCUGAGAGGAAGGUCCCCCACAUUGGAACUGAGACACGGUCCAAACUCCUACGGGAGGCAGCAGUGAGGAAUAUUGGUCAAUGGGCGAGAGCCUGAACCAGCCAAGUAGCGUGAAGGAUGACUGCCCUAUGGGUUGUAAACUUCUUUUAUAAAGGAAUAAAGUUGGGUAUGGAUACCCGUUUGCAUGUACUUUAUGAAUAAGGAUCGGCUAACUCCGUGCCAGCAGCCGCGGUAAUACGGAGGAUCCGAGCGUUAUCCGGAUUUAUUGGGUUUAAAGGGAGCGUAGAUGGAUGUUUAAGUCAGUUGUGAAAGUUUGCGGCUCAACCGUAAAAUUGCAGUUGAUACUGGAUAUCUUGAGUGCAGUUGAGGCAGGCGGAAUUCGUGGUGUAGCGGUGAAAUGCUUAGAUAUCACGAAGAACUCCGAUUGCGAAGGCAGCCUGCUAAGCUGCAACUGACAUUGAGGCUCGAAAGUGUGGGUAUCAAACAGGAUUAGAUACCCUGGUAGUCCACACGGUAAACGAUGAAUACUCGCUGUUUGCGAUAUACUGCAAGCGGCCAAGCGAAAGCGUUAAGUAUUCCACCUGGGGAGUACGCCGGCAACGGUGAAACUCAAAGGAAUUGACGGGGGCCCGCACAAGCGGAGGAACAUGUGGUUUAAUUCGAUGAUACGCGAGGAACCUUACCCGGGCUUAAAUUGCAGAUGAAUUACGGUGAAAGCCGUAAGCCGCAAGGCAUCUGUGAAGGUGCUGCAUGGUUGUCGUCAGCUCGUGCCGUGAGGUGUCGGCUUAAGUGCCAUAACGAGCGCAACCCUUGUUGUCAGUUACUAACAGGUUCCGCUGAGGACUCUGACAAGACUGCCAUCGUAAGAUGUGAGGAAGGUGGGGAUGACGUCAAAUCAGCACGGCCCUUACGUCCGGGGCUACACACGUGUUACAAUGGGGGGUACAGAGGGCCGCUACCACGCGAGUGGAUGCCAAUCCCCAAAACCUCUCUCAGUUCGGACUGGAGUCUGCAACCCGACUCCACGAAGCUGGAUUCGCUAGUAAUCGCGCAUCAGCCACGGCGCGGUGAAUACGUUCCCGGGCCUUGUACACACCGCCCGUCAAGCCAUGGGAGCCGGGGGUACCUGAAGUGCGUAACCGCGAGGAGCGCCCUAGGGUAAAACUGGUGACUGGGGCUAAGUCAU
rnacentral:rRNA from 1 species